rnacentral:rRNA from 1 species
UAACGCGUGGGUAACCUGCCUCAUACAGGGGGAUAACAGUUAGAAAUGACUGCUAAUACCGCAUAAGACCACAGCACCGCAUGGUGCAGGGGCAAAAACUCCGGUGGUAUGAGAUGGACCCGCGUCUGAUUAGGUAGUUGGUGGGGUAACGGCCUACCAAGCCGACGAUCAGUAGCCGACCUGAGAGGGUGACCGGCCACAUUGGGACUGAGACACGGCCCAAACUCCUACGGGAGGCAGCAGUGGGGAAUAUUGCACAAUGGGGGAAACCCUGAUGCAGCGACGCCGCGUGAGCGAUGAAGUAUUUCGGUAUGUAAAGCUCUAUCAGCAGGGAAGAAAAUGACGGUGCCUGACUAAGAAGCACCGGCUAAAUACGUGCCAGCAGCCGCGGUAAUACGUAUGGUGCAAGCGUUAUCCGGAUUUACUGGGUGUAAAGGGAGCGUAGACGGAGUGGCAAGUCUGAUGUGAAAACCCGGGGCUCAACCCCGGGACUGCAUUGGAAACUGUCAAUCUAGAGUACCGGAGAGGUAAGCGGAAUUCCUAGUGUAGCGGUGAAAUGCGUAGAUAUUAGGAGGAACACCAGUGGCGAAGGCGGCUUACUGGACGGUAACUGACGUUGAGGCUCGAAAGCGUGGGGAGCAAACAGGAUUAGAUACCCCGGUAGUCCACGCCGUAAACGAUGACUACUAGGUGU